rnacentral:rRNA from 1 species
AUACGGAGGGUGCAAGCGUUAUUCGGAAUCACUGGGCGUAAAGGACACGUAGGCGGGAAGCCAAGUCUGAUGUGAAAUCCUACAGCUUAACUGUAGAACUGCAUUGGAAACUGGUUACCUAGAGUAUGGGAGGGGGAGAUGGAAUUAGUGGUGUAGGGGUAAAAUCCGUAGAUAUCACUAGGAAUACCUAAAGCGAAGGCGAUCUCCUGGAACAUUACUGACGCUAAGGUGUGAAAGCGUGGGGAGCAAACGGGAUUAGAUACCCCAGUAGUCC